UCCGAUCAGAACUUUAUAGAGAAAACUUAUAGGUUAGUGAAAAUAAAAAGAAACAACACUUAGCUACGGAAAAAACAACACGAGGCAAUGCAGCAAAAACACCUUUCAUGGGAAAGGUUCGUAUGACGCAAGAUUGGUUGUAGGUCGAAAGGCAGAUGCAAUUUUUCCUUCUCUCCGAGAAUCGAGUCAACUCGUAUAAUAUCCUCCUCAGUAGGAAUGGAUUCAUUAAGUCACAUAACGGUCACACAAGAACAGUCAGUAAUUUUCCUGGUGUUGGAAAGGAAACGCACCCCCUAACCCCAACCUUGUCUGCGACAGAGUUCUAGACGUAUGUUGACCUCUUUGUUGCUCAAAAGAGAGAAAGAUCGUCCAGAAAACCGGUUCUGGAGUGCGGUUACCCAAAGAAAGCAAGAGAGAGAGAGAGAGAGAGAGGGUGGGUGAAGUUUGCUGUAUAUAUCCAGCUUCGAAAGAGACACGCCAACCAUUUUCGUAUCGAGGAGUCGUAACACCGCCACAGAAUGCUCUCCUUCCUCCUCCUCCUCCUGAUUUUUGCUGAGCACUCUUCGCUGGGCUCAGCAUCGCCGACCCAUCCCAUCAUGUCCAAACGCUCCGCCCUCAGCAACUACCGAACGGAGAACCAACCGCACUCCUGCAGCCUCGGACAAGUCCUCAGUUUGGACGGACUCUGUAUCACCCCUGAGGUCAAGCAACACGUCUUCGUGUACAACAUCCCUAACCAACGGCGACCAAGUCCCCCGCCCUACGUACCCCCGCCGAAAGUGGAUAAGAACAUCGUCUUCGUGAACCUGCCGCAGAGUAGCCAGGAACGUGAGACUAUCGUCAUCCCGCCUCCCCAGCAGAAGAACGUCAUCUACGUCCUGAACGAGAAGGCUCACCAAGACGCUAGGCCUAAGGUCAUCGAGGUGCCAGCGCCUCCCAAGGUCAGACCUGAGGUGUAUUUCGUCAAUUAUGGUCAGGGUGAGAACCCGGUUCUCCCGACGGGUGAAGACCUCCAGAGUGUGCUUCUGAAAGAUGGCCAGGAAGUGCCCGUUCGCUCCUUGGCUACUGGACGCCAGCUUUCUUUCGGUAACAAUCAUCUUAACCGUGAGGUUACGAGUGAAGGCGUCACGCUUGGUAGUUUGGGUGCAGUAACAGAUAACGAUCAUGCAAGCACGCAAACCUCCUCACAGAAAUCCACUUCUCUUCACGAUACCAAGGAUACGACAGACGGACUAGGCCUAACUCUCGAUACCUUUGAACACAGACCAACCGAAUACAAAACGUUAUAUUACGGUGACUUGAAGAACCGCCAUUUCAACCAACCUUUAAAAACCUCCUAACUUGUUUAAAAAUGACAUUCCAGUUAUCCAGCAAAAUCUUCCAAGCAAAAUCUGGCCAUUUCAGUCCCGCAAAACCAACUGAAAAUGAAAGUGAGCCUGAAAGGUGACUCCGAGUUGCCAGACAACAACGAUUUUCCAAAACGGUUCAGUCAUGUGUUUUGUAUUCUUAAAUUGGUUUGUUUUUCAAGGGUUUCGUUUUCCCCACCGAGAAAUUAAUGGUGUAGCGUGAAGAUUCAGCCACGUUAUUUUCCAUUAACACAUUAUAAAUAAAUAAAUAAAAAUAAAAAAUAAAUAAAAACACGAAGAAACCACAUCAAGCAAAUGCGUCUACCCAACCACAUCAGCCUACAUAUCACCUUACUCUGAUUCAUGAGAUACGAUCAUCAGCAUAGUCUUUGUCAUGUUGGGAUUCAGAGGCCGUUCUUCUGGCGGCUGAGUCAUGCACGCACAGAGAGAGAGAGAGAGAGAGAGAGAGAGAGAGAGAGAGAGAGAGAGAGAGAGAGAGAGAGAUGAUGUGUAUCGUUAAUCUUUAAGUGGCCUGAGAAAGGCAGCCUUCAUCCGGUUGCAUGAGGAGGUCGUGGACUCGUGUGUGUGUGUGUGUGUGUGUGUGUGUAUGUGUGUAUGUGUAUGUGUGUGUGAUAUUAAUGACAAAUAUAAGGGUAGCCACUCCUCUCUCUAGAUGGCUAGUGUUAUGAAACUAUGUCCUAUACCUCGAUUGUUAUUCGUUACGAAUAUAAUAUAAUAAAUAAAA